UGGGGAAUAUUGCACAAUGGGCGCAAGCCUGAUGCAGCCAUGCCGCGUGUGUGAAGAAGGCCUUCGGGUUGUAAAGCACUUUCAGCGAGGAGGAAGGUGGUGAGCUUAAUACGCUCAUCAAUUGACGUUACUCGCAGAAGAAGCACCGGCUAACUCCGUGCCAGCAGCCGCGGUAAUACGGAGGGUGCAAGCGUUAAUCGGAAUUACUGGGCGUAAAGCGCACGCAGGCGGUUUGUUAAGUCAGAUGUGAAAUCCCCGGGCUCAACCUGGGAACUGCAUUUGAAACUGGCAAGCUAGAGUCUCGUAGAGGGGGGUAGAAUUCCAGGUGUAGCGGUGAAAUGCGUAGAGAUCUGGAGGAAUACCGGUGGCGAAGGCGGCCCCCUGGACGAAGACUGACGCUCAGGUGCGAAAGCGUGGGGCAGCAAACAGGAUUAGAUACCCUGGUAGUCCACGCUGUAAACGAUGUCGAUUUUGGAGGUUGUGCCCUUGAGGCGUGGCUUCCGGAGCUAACGCGUUAAAUCGACCGCCUGGGGAGUACGGCCGCAAGGUUAAAACUUAAAUGAAUUG
rnacentral:rRNA from 1 species